GGUAAUUUAUGAACACAAACAAAACGUGACCUACAGGUUUCAAACCUAGCUUGCAAUGCACGUUACAGUUUAUAUUAAGAGUUAGUUUGAAUAUUGGUGAAUAUAUAUAUUUAGGCACUUGACGGGAUCUGGAUCGGAGAAGAUAGAGAAUGCUCGGAUGAAGGUGGGGAGCAGAGUGCAGGAUACCAAGUAUGGGCAGCACAACAUUGGAGUCCAACACCAACAAGCUUCUUAAAAUUCAAAGGCUAAAAUCGAUUUCCCACAUUAAAUUGUCAUCCAUCGUUUGAUCUCUCUUCUCAUUGUUUUUCCUCAACGUUUGUGUUGUCAUAAUGUAUGAUAAUAACAUGCAAUGUAUGAUGUAAUCUUAAUUUCCUUCUUCUUUUCUUUGUUGUUGGUUUGCGAGUAAUGUUUUGAUCCUUCUAUUCUAUGUGAGCGGAAAUCUUCAUAUAGACACUUAGUGGCAUUGGUACAUUAC
rnacentral:lncRNA from 1 species